rnacentral:rRNA from 1 species
GGCCUUGACAUACUAAGAACUUUCCAGAGAUGGAUUGGUGCCUUCGGGAACUUAGAUACAGGUGCUGCAUGGCUGUCGUCAGCUCGUGUCGUGAGAUGUUGGGUUAAGUCCCGCAACGAGCGCAACCCUUUUCCUUAUUUGCCAGCGGGUAAUGCCGGGAACUUUAAGGAUACUGCCAGUGACAAACUGGAGGAAGGCGGGGACGACGUCAAGUCAUCAUGGCCCUUACGGCCAGGGCUACACACGUGCUACAAUGGUCGGUACAAAGGGUUGCUACCUCGCGAGAGGAUGCUAAUCUCAAAAAGCCGAUCGUAGUCCGGAUCGCAGUCUGCAACUCGACUGCGUGAAGUCGGAAUCGCUAGUAAUCGCGGAUCAGAAUGCCGCGGUGAAUACGUUCCCGGGCCUUGUACACACCGCCCGUCACACCAUGGGAGUUUGUUGCACCAGAAGUAGGUAGUCUAACCGCAAGGAGGACGCUUACCACGGUGUGGCCGAUGACUGGGGUGAAGUCGUAACAAGGUAGGCGUAGAUGA